GGAUGUAAGAGCAAGCUGGCUGCAGUGUCUGUCCCCAGCUUGGUUUAGCUGACCUGUGGCAAGGUGACUGUCCCCUUCUCCCUCACUGUUCUGCUUGAGUUCCCUCCUCAAGCUGCAUGCUCAGUGGAGAACAAAGACCUCCCCAAAUGCAAGAGGCACAACAGGGGAUGGGUCCUUUGCUGGACCCUCCAAACCAGUUCUCAUUUCAAAGCCUGAGUAGGUAACAGUGAGGGCAGAGGGUGGUUUU
rnacentral:sRNA from 14 species